rnacentral:rRNA from 1 species
AAUGAACGCUGGCGGCAGGCUUAACACAUGCAAGUCGAGCGCCCCGCAAGGGGAGCGGCAGACGGGUGAGUAACGCGUGGGAAUCUACCCUUUUCUACGGAAUAACGCAGGGAAACUUGUGCUAAUACCGUAUGUGCCCUUCGGGGGGAAGAAUUAUCGGGAAAGGAUGAGCCCGCGUUGGAUUAGCUAGUUGGUGGGGUAAAGUCCUACCAAGGCGACGAUCCAUAGCUGGUCUGAGAGGAUGAUCAGCCACAUUGUGACUGAGACACGGCCCACACUCCGACGGGAGGCGGCAGUGGGGAAUAUUGGACAAUGGGCGCAAGCCUGCUCCAGCCAUGCGGAGUGAGUGAUGAAGGCCCUAGGGUUGUAAAGCUCUAUCACCGGUGAAGAGAAUGACGGUAACCGGAGAAGAAGCCCCGGCUAACUUCGUGCCAGCCGCCGCGGUAAUAC